rnacentral:rRNA from 1 species
UACGGGGGGGGCAAGCGUUGUUCGGAAUUACUGGGCGUAAAGGCUCGUAGGCGGCCAACUAAGUCGGACGUGAAAUCCCUCGGCUUAACCGGGGAACUGCGUCCGAUACUGGAUGGCUUGAGUUCGGGAGAGGGAUGCGGAAUUCCAGGUGUAGCGGUGAAAAUGCGUAGAUAUCUGGAGGAACACCGGUGGCGAAGGCGGCAUCCUGGACCGACACUGACGCUGAGGAGCGAAAGCCAGGGAGCAAACGGG